CUGACACAUUCCUAUACAAAUCUAAGGACAAAUUUAUAAUUUUGACUAUAAAUCAAUAAAUGGGUUAUUCUUCUAUCGCAUUGUGUACAUUGUGUCUGUGAUACAUUCUUUGAGUUAGUAGGAAUGUCAAUUCAUAUUUUCAAGAGUUAAAAAUUUAAGGCAUGAAUUUACAUAACUAACUCAUAAACAGCUCCUGACCA
rnacentral:lncRNA from 1 species